rnacentral:lncRNA from 1 species
CUCGGAUCUCUCGCUGAAGCUCUGGCUCUGAGAGGUGUCUUGAUAAGGGGCCCAUCCGAAUAUGCCGGCACCAAAAUCCGACCCGUAAGACCCUCCGGGCUGCGCAGGAUAGUAGCCACCGGAAGAUGACUCCGAUGCACCAUAUCCAUAGGCUGGCUGAGGCCGCGGAUAAUAGGAAGACUCGGAACUUGAUACAUCAAUGGAUCUGACUCCACAUGGGAGGUCAUCUGCAGCUGCAUCCUGGCCUCUUGAACGACCUCGAGGAGCUCUUCUUCGAUAUGCAAUGGUAUCCGACCGGCCUAUAUC